GCCGGAAUAGCUCAGUUGGUAGACAGAGGACUGAAAAUCCUCGUG
rnacentral:tRNA from 1 species